UGCAGCAGGAGGCAGCUCUCUGCUCAGCCUGCAGUGCCGAGUGACACAGCCCCGCGACAUAGUCACCGAGCACUAACUUCUAUUAAAUGCAGGCAGACUGUGAGAACCCUAUUGGAACUGCGUCAGGACAUGAGAGAAGCAAAGGAGCCCAACCUCAUCAGUAUCUUUCCUUCGGGCAAUGUGACAAGGCUGGAUAUAAGUCAAUGACUCAAGUGGAUUUGAUUGCGUAAGAGAUGAAUGAUCAGUUUAUCCAGUGACUCACCAAAGUGUGUCCCAACCAAAGUCCACAAUUAUUUUGGCUCCUCGCAUUCAAAGUGGAAUGUUCUGAGAAUCUGGAUGAUCUCUCGCUGAGUGUCUGGGCCACAAGGUAAAACACCUGAGGAUCUGAGGGGAAAAUGCUGAGGGG